CGUAGUAAUAUUCUUUCUGUUCCCUGAGUGGCCAGAGAGUCUCUAAGAGCUAGUUUUCAUUGAACUUCUUAAACACACUUUAAAGUUCUGCUACUCUUAUUCAUUCUUUUUAUUAUGUGUUUACCUUGCUGAGUUGAUGGAAGGAGUUCUAUCCAAUGUAAUUUGCCUGGAUUGUGAUAUAUUUGCUUCCUUUACUUCACUGAGCUGAGGGUCGAUUGGAAACAGCCUCUCUGCCCUUUCGGGUAGGGGUAAGGCUCGUCUACUUACCUUGCUGAGUUGAUGGAAGGAGUUCUAUCCAAUGUAAUUUGCCUGGAUUGUGAUAUAUUUGCUUCCUUUACUUCACUGAGACGAGGGUCGAUUGGAAACAGCCUCUCUGCCCUUUCGGCUAGGGAUAAAGCUCGUCUACAUAUUACCCUCCCUAGACCCCACUUUGUGGGACUAUACUGGGUAGUUGUUAUGUUUUUAUCUGUUGUAUCUUCCUGGAGCAUCGAGCUUAGGUAAUCUGAACUUCAUGCUUUUUUAACUUUUGAGUUGUAAGUUGUAACGGCACAAAUUUUCUCAUUAACUUUUAAGUUGUAAUGGCACAAAUUUGCAACCCAACUUGUAGAUAACAAAAGCUGUAUUUGGAAAUUCUGGGAUUUUCAAGGAAGAGAUUUGAAAAGUUCAAAAUUUGAGUUUUCGCUCAGAAGUAUAUCCUGGUCAAAAUAGAUAUAACCCUGUUAAUGGAGCACCUUUUGGAUCAUGCCAGAUUCUAUAUUUAGUGACAAGUUCUUCCUAAGCAAUGAUCACUAAUGAGCAGUUUGAAAGGGUUCCUCGUGAUUAGGCUGUGAACAUGAAGAACCUACUUGACCUGCAAUGGAAACAACGGUUUUUGUGUAAGGUCCCAAAGCAUAGAAUCUUUUAAAACCUCAUAGGGC
rnacentral:lncRNA from 1 species